UAAUAGGAGUGGCUCUGCAUAAGAACAUUGCAUAAAGAUCCAAAAACAGAGAAAACCCUUUUAGAUGGUAGAAUUGAAAUCCUUGGGUGUAUGAAAUCCCAAAUUGCCAGGUUGCCACAUGAAAAUGAGCUUUUGACUAUAACAAAAACAAACCAGACUAUCACAUCAAUCCUUCAUCUCCCUCCUCCACUUGCUAUUAACCUAUUGCUUACUUCCCACUUCACAUGAUACCCCAACAAAACACACAUAACAAAACGUGCAGACUCCUCUCUCUCCU
rnacentral:lncRNA from 1 species